AUGUUCACUUCAGCAGCAUAUAUACAAAAACCGAAACAAUACAGAAAAGAUUUGCAUGGCCUCUGUGCAAGGAUGACAUGCAAAUUCAGGAAGUGUUCCAUAUUUUU
rnacentral:snRNA from 1 species